CUCGGUUCCUGAUCGGUAGUUGUGUGGGCGCCGGAUCCAGCGGCCGUCAUCAUGGUUGUCGAUACGGUCAGCGCGAGCACCUCCAUUAUUGCGCCCCACCUGUUCGACCAGAGGUCCAGGGGCCCCCACCGCCCCCUCCGCCGGACGUUCCAUGUCGUCGCCUGCCGCCCCCUGCCCACCGCCUUCGCGGGCCGCCGUCUCGUGGCCCGGGGCACCAGGCAGCCGUCGC
rnacentral:lncRNA from 1 species